AGAGUUUGAUCUUGGCUCAGAACGAACGCUGGCGGCGUGGAUUAGGCAUGCAAGUCGAACGCGAAAGCACCUUCGGGUGAUAAGUAGAGUGGCAAACUGGUGAGUAACGCGUGGGAAACCUACCCAUCGGUGUGGAAUAACAUCCCCAACGGGGUGCUAAUACCGCAUACGUUGUUCGGAUCGCAUGUUCCGAAUUGGAAAGAUGGCCUCUCCCUGGAAGCUGUCGCCGAUGGAUGGUCCCGCGUCCUAUUAGCUUGUUGGUGAGGUAACGGCUCACCAAGGCUUCGAUGGGUAGCUGGUCUGAGAGGAUGGUCAGCCACACUGGGACUGAGAUACGGCCCAGACUCCUACGGGAGGCAGCAGUCGAGAGGCAUCCGCAAUGGGGGAAACCCUGACGGUGCGACGCCGCGUGGGUGAAGAAGGCCUUUAGGUCGUAAAGCCCUGUCAGAGGGGAAGAAGUGCCUUGCGAUCAAUACCCGCAGGGCUUGACGGUACCCUCAGAGGAAGCUCCGGCUAACUCCGUGCCAGCAGCCGCGGUAAUACGGAGGGAGCGAGCGUUGUUCGGAUUUACUGGGCGUAAAGGGCGCGUAGGCGGGCUACUAAGUCAGAGGUGAAAUCCCCCGGCUCAACCGGGGAACUGCUUUCGAAACUGGUAGUCUUGAGGCCGAGAGAGGGUUGUGGAAUUCCUGGUGUAGCGGUGAAAUGCGUAGAUAUCAGGAGGAACACCGGUGGCGAAGGCGGCAACCUGGCUCGGUUCUGACGCUGAGGUGCGAAAGCCAGGGGAGCGAACGGGAUUAGAUACCCUGGUAGUCCUGGCCGUAAACGAUGGGUACUAGGUGUUCGGGGAGUCGACCCCCUGAGUGCCGGAGUUCACGCAUUAAGUACCCCGCCUGGGGAGUACCGCCGCAAGGUUGAAACUCAAAGGAAUUGACGGGGGCCCGCACAAGCGGUGGAGCAUGUGGUUUAAUUCGACGCUACGCGAAGAACCUUACCGGGGCUUGACAUAUAGGUGUCGACCAUUGAAAUAUGGUUUCCCGCAAGGCGUCUAUGACAGGUGCUGCAUGGCUGUCGUCAGCUCGUGUCGUGAGAUGUUGGGUUAAGUCCCGCAACGAGCGCAACCCUUGUCCCUAGUUGCUAACGAAUCAAGUCGAGAACUCUAGGGAGACUGCCGGUGAUAAACCGGACGAAGGUGGGGAUGACGUCAAGUCAUCAUGGCCCUUACGUCCCGGGCUACACACGUGCUACAAUGGACGGUACAGUGGGUUGCAAUGCCGCGAGGUGGAGCUAAUCCCCAAAAGCCGUUCUCAGUUCGGAUCGAAGUCUGCAACUCGACUUCGUGAAGUCGGAAUCGCUAGUAAUCCCGGAUCAGCAAUGCCGGGGUGAAUACGUUCCCGG
rnacentral:rRNA from 1 species